AUGACGAUAGCUGUUCAGGUGACACACCUCCCCCCCCGCCUGGAUCACGUGACGGUCUGUCGAUCGCUUUGGUUCCGCAGUAGAAGCCCGAGUGUCAGUGACGGGAGAAGCGAAUCGCUGGGCAAGAUGUCGGGCAAAGACAGGAUCGAGGUGUUUCCCUCUAGGAUGGCCCAGACCAUCAUGAAGGCGCGGCUGAAAGGAGCACAGACAGGCCGCAACCUUCUCAAGAAGAAAUCCGAUGCCUUAACCAUGCGCUUCCGGCAAAUCCUAAAGAAAAUCAUUGAGACCAAGAUGCUCAUGGGAGAAGUAAUGAGAGAAGCGGCUUUCUCACUGGCUGAAGCCAAGUUCACUGCCGGAGAUUUCAGCACGACUGUUAUACAGAAUGUGAAUAAAUCUCAGGUGAAAGUGCGGGCAAAGAAAGACAAUGUAGCAGGUGUGACCUUGCCAGUGUUUGAGCAUUACCAGGAGGGAGGCGACAGCUACGAGCUGACAGGAUUGGCUAGAGGUGGGGAACAGUUGGCCAAGCUGAAGAGGAAUUAUGCCAAGGCUGUGGAGCUGCUGGUGGAACUGGCAUCACUGCAGACCUCAUUCGUGACACUAGAUGAAGCCAUUAAAAUCACUAACCGGCGUGUCAAUGCCAUAGAACAUGUGAUUAUACCCAAGAUAGAGCGCACCUUGUCCUACAUUAUCACUGAACUGGAUGAGCGCGAGAGGGAGGAGUUCUACAGGCUGAAAAAGAUCCAGGAAAAGAAGAAGAUCAUUAAGGAUAAGGCAGAGAAGGAACGAGCCAAAUGGGCGAACGCAAAUGAGGGAGGCUCCGAACCAGUCAAUCUCCUCGCAGAGGACAGAGAUGAAGACCUGUUGUUUGAUUAAGCCCUCGAUUCAGCGAAUGACGGAUUAGAUGGAAUAUAUAUAUAUAUAUAUAUAUAUAUAUGAGGGUUUCAUUUCAAACUGUCGCCGUAGGAAAUACUCUAUACCCACAAUGCAUCAGUGUGUCACUGGCUCUGGAGACUCAAGUUAAACAAAUAUUUAAGUGAAAUGAGACAAAAUUGUGCAUUUUCCCAGUUUCUGAAUCAUUGUAACUUAUUGGUGUGAUUGUCCUGCCCUGUAACAGCCCUGCGCUCUCAUUAGAUGCAAUAAAGUGUCAUGUGGA